GAUGAUCUCAUCUCAUCUAAACCUUCUGAUCACUCCUGGACGUUCAAAGGAGAAGCUUCUGAAGGGAAUGAAGAGGACAAGGCACUUAUGGGGUUGCUUGAUGAGUCGAAAGAUCAGGUGGCAUCAGAAAGUAGCUUACCUCUGUCACCCCAUUGGCUUUAUGCCAAACUGAG